rnacentral:misc_RNA from 1 species
CCCAUCAUCACUUCCAGAUGCAAGCAUACAGCUCGCCAACUUGUUCCAUGAUAUGACAUUGACAUCUGCCUUAUGUGCCGUUAUAGUUGCUGCAAGAGGGUUGCCCAUACGGGUGUCCCAUAUUAUAAUAUUUCUAUCAACUGAGCAAGAAGCAAAUACGGUAUCUUCUGUAGGGCUCCACUGGAGAUCCUCAACACUUGCAGUGUGUCCAAUGUAAGAUUUAGCACCAACAUUCCAUGUUGCACCAGA